rnacentral:lncRNA from 13 species
AAGUAAUGCCCAGAGGAAUCCAGUGUGGGAUUAUGACAAGCAAUGGCAGUUAGCUGGAUUUGCUGCCACUUUCGACCUGUGGUGGAAAAGUCCUGGACUGGUCAGCCUGUGAGCCUGUAACAUGGAGAGAGUGGAACCAGAACAAACUGUCUAGAACAACCAGACAAUAACAGUCAGCAGCAAGAUGAACUUGGACCGUCAAAAAUAAACUCCAGGAAUGAAGUGAUUGCA